GAUGAAGAACGCAGCGAAAUGCGAUAAGUAAUGUGAAUUGCAGAAUUCAGUGAAUCAUCGAAUCUUUGAACGCACCUUGCACCCUUUGGCAUUCCGAAGGGUAUGCUCGUUUGAGUGUCAUUGUACUCUCACACUCUCCGAUCCUAUGGAUUCGGGGAGCGGUGGACUUGGGUGUUGCUGCCUUUCCUUGUGGCUCACCUCAAAUGUGUCAGUGCACCUCUUGGUUGGACAUAGUACGGCGUGAUAAGUGUCUUCGCCGGCACCUCGCAAGAGGGUGGCCGAUCGGGAGCUCUGUGCUUUCGAACCGUCUUCGGACAAUUUCUGACAACUUGACCUCAAAUCGAGUAGGACUACCCGCUGAACUUAAGCAUAUCAAUAAGCGGAGGA
rnacentral:misc_RNA from 1 species